rnacentral:rRNA from 1 species
UACGGAGGGUGCAAGCAUUAAUCGGAAUUAUUGGGCGUAAAGGGCGCGUAGGCGGAUUCGUAAGUCAGAUGUGAAAUACCGAGGCUCAACUUCGGUGCUGCAUUUGAAACCACGAAUCUAGAGGGUAGACGGAGAAAACGGAAUUCCAAGUGUAGCGGUGAAAUGCGUGGAUAUUUGGAAGAACACCUGUGGCGAAAGCGGUUUUCUAGUUUAUUCCUGACGCUGAGGCGCGAGAGCAAGGGGAGCAAAC